AGUGAACGCUGGCGGUAGGCCUAACACAUGCAAGUCGAACGGCAGCACAGUAAGAGCUUGCUCUUACGGGUGGCGAGUGGCGGACGGGUGAGGAAUACAUCGGAAUCUACUUUUUCGUGGGGGAUAACGUAGGGAAACUUACGCUAAUACCGCAUACGACCUACGGGUGAAAGCAGGGGAUCUUCGGACCUUGCGCGAUUGAAUGAGCCGAUGUCGGAUUAGCUAGUUGGCGGGGUAAAGGCCCACCAAGGCGACGAUCCGUAGCUGGUCUGAGAGGAUGAUCAGCCACACUGGAACUGAGACACGGUCCAGACUCCUGCGGGAGGCAGCAGUGGGGAAUAUUGGACAAUGGGCGCAAGCCUGAUCCAGCCAUACCGCGUGGGUGAAGAAGGCCUUCGGGUUGUAAAGCCCUUUUGUUGGGAAAGAAAAGCAGCAGGUUAAUACCCCGCGGUUCUGACGGUACCCAAAGAAUAAGCACCGGCUAACUUCGUG
rnacentral:rRNA from 1 species